GACGAACGCUGGCGGCGUGCUUAACACAUGCAAGUCGAACGGAAAGGCCCUGCUUUUGUGGGGUGCUCGAGUGGCGAACGGGUGAGUAACACGUGAGUAACCUGCCCUUGACUUUGGGAUAACUUCAGGAAACUGGGGCUAAUACCGGAUAGGAGCUCCUGCUGCAUGGUGGGGGUUGGAAAGUUUCGGCGGUUGGGGAUGGACUCGCGGCUUAUCAGCUUGUUGGUGGGGUAGUGGCUUACCAAGGCUUUGACGGGUAGCCGGCCUGAGAGGGUGACCGGCCACAUUGGGACUGAGAUACGGCCCAGACUCCUACGGGAGGCAGCAGUGGGGAAUAUUGCACAAUGGGCGGAAGCCUGAUGCAGCAACGCCGCGUGCGGGAUGACGGCCUUCGGGUUGUAAACCGCUUUCGCCUGUGACGAAGCGUGAGUGACGGUAAUGGGUAAAGAAGCACCGGCUAACUACGUGCCAGCAGCCGCGGUGAUACGUAGGGUGCGAGCGUUGUCCGGAUUUAUUGGGCGUAAAGGGCUCGUAGGUGGUUGAUCGCGUCGGAAGUGUAAUCUUGGGGCUUAACCCUGAGCGUGCUUUCGAUACGGGUUGACUUGAGGAAGGUAGGGGAGAAUGGAAUUCCUGGUGGAGCGGUGGAAUGCGCAGAUAUCAGGAGGAACACCAGUGGCGAAGGCGGUUCUCUGGGCCUUUCCUGACGCUGAGGAGCGAAAGCGUGGGGAGCGAACAGGCUUAGAUACCCUGGUAGUCCACGCUGUAAACGGUGGGUACUAGGUGUGGGGUCCAUUCCACGGGUUCCGUGCCGUAGCUAACGCUUUAAGUACCCCGCCUGGGGAGUACGGCCGCAAGGCUAAAACUCAAAGGAAUUGACGGGGCCCCGCACAAGCGGCGGAGCAUGCGGAUUAAUUCGAUGCAACGCGUAGAACCUUACCUGGGUUUGACAUGGAUCGGGAGUGCUCAGAGAUGGGUGUGCCUCUUUUGGGGUCGGUUCACAGGUGGUGCAUGCCUGUCGUCAGCUCGUGUCGUGAGAUGUUGGGUUAAGUCCCGCAACGAGCGCAACCCUUGUUCACUGUUGCCAGCACGUUAUGGUGGGGACUCAGUGGAGACCGCCGGGGUCAACUCGGAGGAAGGUGGGGAUGACGUCAAGUCCUCAUGCCCCUUAUGUCCAGGGCUUCACGCAUGCUACAAUGGCUGGUACAGAGAGUGGCGAGCCUGUGAGGGUGAGCGAAUCUCGGAAAGCCGGUCUCAGUUCGGAUCGGGGUCUGCAACUCGACCUCAUGAAGUCGGAGUCGCUAGUAAUCGCAGAUCAGCAACGCUGCGGUGAAUACGUUCCCGGG
rnacentral:rRNA from 1 species